rnacentral:rRNA from 1 species
CCAGUGACUUUGUUCAACGGCCGCGGUAUCCUAACCGUGCGAAGGUAGCGUAAUCACUUGUUCUUUAAAUGAGGACUAGUAUGAAUGGCACCACGAAGGUUAUACUGUCUCCUUUCUUUAAUCAGUGAAACUAAUCUCCCCGUGAAGAAGCGGGGAUUUAACUAUAAGACGAGAAGACCCUAUGGAGCUUCAAACAUAAGUAACAAUUGCCCACUAUAAUAUUUAAUCUACGGAAAUCAGCCACAGUAUUUAGGCAUAUUGAUUACAAGUUUUAGGUUGGGGUGACCGCGGAGCAAAAAACAACCUCCGCAGUGAAUGGAACUUAUUUCCUAAACCCAGGGCUACGACCCAAAGAAUCAACAAAUUGACACCGAUUGACCCAAUAUUUUGAUCAAUGAACCAAGUUACCCUAGGGAUAACAGCGCAAUCCACUUCAAGAGCCCCUAUCGACAAGUGGGUUUACGACCUCGAUGUUGGAUCAGGGUAUCCCAGUGGUGCAGCCGCUACUAAAGGUUCGUUUGUUCAACGAUUAAAACCCUACGUGAUCU